GGUCGGGUGGGGACUCCAACAUUUACAUAACACUGACAACAUUGUAUUCAGAAUAUAACAUCUUUUUAUAGCACUUUUUGAUGUGUGAUUGUGUAAAGGUGUUCACGAGAUACCAACCUUUUGUAAAUUUGUGAAUUUCGCCAGCCGUCUUCUCUGCUUUA